UACGUAGGGUGCGAGCGUUAAUCGGAAUUACUGGGCGUAAAGCGCGCGCAGGCGGUCUUCCAAGUCAGUGGUGAAAGCCCGGAGCUCAACUCCGGAACUGCCAUUGAAACUGUAAGACUUGAGGACGAGAGAGGUGGAGUGAAUUCCCAGUGUAGAGGUGAAAUUCGUAGAUAUUGGGAAGAACACCGGUGGCGAAGGCGGCCAACUGGACGAAUACUGACGCUGAGACUCGAAAGCGUGGGGAGCAAACAGG
rnacentral:rRNA from 1 species